CUGAACUCGAGUCUCGCUUCUGAUCGGCGGCUGAAGAAAUGGUCGAAUGUGAAGGAAUCAUGCGAAAGCAGGACUUUCCGCCAGCCUGAUUAAACAUCUUUCAUACCGAUGAGGCCAUUGUCAACCGACUGAAAUAUCGGCGGUCGAUAUAGCUCUUUUAGAAAUAUACUGCUUCUUCCACGGAGCAGUUUAACGCUCCAUCAAGGAUCAGCUCAACAUAAAUAAGGACUUCAGAUCAAAGGACUACGCGAGGCUGCCGCCUGACUUAGUUAGAACAAAAAAAAAAACUGAACAAGUAUGUGUAUGACCUAUUGAUUUUAACUGCCUGACAUAGUAAACUAAAACAGUUAAACCCAGAGCAGAUUUCCUUAUGUUGUACCUCCGGUUGCUGCGCCUGUGCAUGUUGUCGAGCUGAUUUUCCGUUUUCUAAGAUGCUUCCUUCAUCAAAAACCGUUUUCAACGAAGUCGUCGAUAUGAUGAAGCUGAAAACACCCCUCCGGCUCACGUUUUUUUGUUCUGUAUUUGAUCUAUUAGGUUAUAUUCCUAUGGCAAACAUUCAGUUAUUAUACGAUGAUGCUACUUGAAGCUUGUGGCUCGCACAACAACGAUUCGCCGGAGUCUCGUUGGCUGCGCCCGUUUUUUUUUCGGUCUUUUCAUUCUGUUGUUAUCUGCAUUUCAAAUGGCAUCUCAGCAUUUGAUACCAGUGAUCGAGUGAUUAUAGUGUCGGUAUACCAUCGCCAACAGACAUAGACAAACAAAAAUCUACCACACAACCAAUAAAAGAAGUACCAGCACUUCAGUGGCGGGGCAUUGAGGGUCAGAUCUGGUUGACUAGCACAUACCAUGUGAUCCUUUGUGCCCUAAACGUCCUGCCCCCGGCAAGUGAAUAGACCACACAGGAGCAUUGAAUUGGUAACCUCAUCGUCUCUGUUCAUGACGUCUUUGAGGACUGACAUCACGCAUUUCGAUGCCUACUCGACAAUCGCACGAAACUAAAUCGUCUCAUCAGCGUUUGACGACAGACAGUAUUACCCCGGAACGAAAGCAAAUUCAGUGAAGACAAAAUAAAACAGACAGGCACGUAAAAAAAAGACGAAAGGAUCAAAGCUACUCCCUUCACUGCGAAUGAUGUAGCAGAACCUCAUCAGCUUUAGGUACUUAAGGCAGCGAACUGUAAUGCAUAGAUGGGAGAAUGGCGACAUCAGUUGGCUUUGAGAUACCCUUAGCUUAAGAACAUGCUUAGAAGACGCGUAGGCCGCAAACUGAGAUAGAUCAGACGGACAGACGACCAGCCAGCUUCUACGUAGUC